rnacentral:rRNA from 1 species
UGCCUACGGGGCGCAGCAGUGGGGAAUAUUGGGCAAUGGGCGCAAGCCUGACCCAGCAACGCCGCGUGAAGGAAGAAGGCUUUCGGGAUGUAAACUUCUUUUCUCAGGGACGAAGCAAGUGACGGUACCUGAGGAAUAAGCCACGGCUAACUACGUGCCAGCAGCCGCGGUAAUACGUAGGCGGCAAGCGUUAUCCGGAUUUACUGGGUGUAAAGGGCGUGUAGGCGGAACUGCAAGUCAGAAGUGAAAACA